CGGGCGUGUUUAUGUUUUAUAAACUCAGAAAUGUAACCAGUGGUCUGAUUUUUUGAGACCCUGUGUGGACAGUAAUGACCGCACGUUUCCGAUUGCCUGCUGGCAGAACCUACAAUGUACGAGCAUCUGAGCUGGCACGAGACAGGCAGCAUACGGAGGUGGUCUGCAACAUUCUUCUCCUGGAUAACACUGUACAAGCUUUCAGAGUUAAUAAACAUGAUCAGGGACAAGUUCUAUUGGAUGUAGUCUUCAAGCAUCUCGAUUUGACAGAGAGAGAUUACUUUGGUUUACAGUUGGCUGAUGAAUCUACUGAUAAUCCUAGGUGGUUGGAUCCAAACAAACCUAUCAGGAAACAAUUAAAAAGAGGAUCACCUCACAGUUUGAACUUCAGAGUUAAGUUUUUUGUAAGUGACCCAAACAAGCUCCAAGAAGAAUAUACAAGGUACCAGUAUUUUUUGCAAAUUAAACAGGACAUUCUUACUGGAAGACUGCCCUGUCCUUAUAAUACUGCUGCUCUUCUGGCUUCCUACGCUGUUCAAUCCGAGCUGGGAGACUACAACCAUUCAGAAAACUUGCCAGGCUACCUCUCAGACUAUUCUUUCAUCCCUAGCCAGCCUCAAGACUUUGAAAAAGAAAUAGCAAAAUUACAUCAGCAGCACAUAGGGUUGUCUCCUGCAGAAGCGGAGUUCAAUUAUCUCAAUACAGCACGUACCUUAGAACUUUAUGGAGUUGAAUUGCACUAUGCAAGGAAUCUCUGCUCUCUGUGUUCUGAGAUUGCAAUUUCCUUUCAGGAUCAGAGUAACAAUGAAAUAAUGAUUGGAGUGAUGUCAGGUGGAAUACUAAUUUUUAAGAACAGAGUACGAAUUAACACCUUUCAGUGGUUGAAGAUUGUAAAAAUUUCUUUUAAGUGCAAACAGUUUUUUAUUCAACUUAGGAAAGAAUUGCAUGAAUCUAGAGAAACGUUACUGGGAUUCAAUAUGGUGAAUUACCGAGCAUGUAAGAAUUUGUGGAAAGCUUGUGUUGAACAUCACACGUUCUUCCGUUUGGACAGACCGCUCCCCCCUCAGAAGAACUUUUUUGCACAUUAUUUCACUUUGGGUUCCAAGUUCCGGUACUGUGGGAGAACAGAGGUCCAGUCUGUGCAGUAUGGUAAAGAAAGAGCAAACAAAGACAGGGUGUUUGCAAGAUCCCCCAGUAAACCCCUGGCGCGGAAAUUAAUGAGUGGGAUGGACUGGGAAGUAGUGAGUAGGAACUCACUGUCUGAUGACAGGUUGGAAACACAGAGCCUACCAUCACGGUCUCCACCUGGAACCCCAAAUCAUCGCAACUCUGCCUUCACUCAAGAAGGAGCCCGGUUACGACCCUCAUCAGUUGGACAUUUAGUGGACCAUGUGGUUCACACUUCCCCGAGUGAAGUUUUUGUAAAUCACAGAUCGCCAUCUUCCACCCAGGCUAAUAGCAUCAUACUGGAAUCAUCGCCUUCCCUGAGAUCUCAAGAGACUCCUAUAGAUGGGCAGCCUCCCGCGUUACCACCCAAACAAUUUAAAAAGAACAGUUGGAACCAAAUUCAUCAUUCACACUCACAGCAAGAACUGGAAAACCACAUUAAUGAAACAUUUGAUGUUCCCGCAUCACCUGAAAAAUCCACACCCAACGGCGGUGUCCCUCAUGACAAUCUUGUUAUGAUCAGAAUGAAACCAGAUGAAAAUGGAAGGUUUGGCUUCAAUGUAAAGGGUGGAUAUGAUCAGAAGAUGCCGGUAAUAGUAUCCAGGGUAGCUCCAGGAACACCUGCUGAUCUCUGUGUCCCUCGUUUGAAUGAAGGGGACCAGGUUGUACUGAUUAACGGCAGGGACAUAGCAGAACAUACCCACGAUCAAGUUGUUAUGUUUAUUAAAGCUAGCUGUGAGAGGCACUCAGGGGAACUUGUGCUCCUAGUUCGACCCAAUGCUGUCUAUGAUGUUGUGGAAGAGAAGCUGGAGAGUGAGCCUGACUUCCAGUACAUCCCUGAGAAAUCUCCACUUGAUGGUGUCCAUCAAGAUGAUAACGCUCUGAGGGAAUCCAUGAUUCAGCUGGCAGAGGGGCUCAUCACUGGAACUGUUUUGGCUCAGUUUGAUCAAUUGUAUAGGAAGAAGCCUGGAAUGACAAUGUCUUGUGCCAGAUUACCUCAAAACAUUUCCAAAAAUAGAUACAGAGACAUUUCGCCUUAUGAUGCUACACGGGUUAUUUUAAAAAGUAAUGAAGAUUACAUCAAUGCAAAUUAUAUAAAUAUGGAAAUCCCUUCUUCCACAAUAAUAAACCAGUACAUCGCUUGUCAAGGUCCACUACCGAACACUUGUCCUGAUUUUUGGCAGAUGACUUGGGAACAAGGCUCGUCUAUGGUUGUAAUGUUAACGACACAGGUUGAACGGGGCAGAGCAGACUCCCUGCUCUAAAGCUGAUCAUGAGGCUACCGACAUCGCUAUCCCACUGCAUGCCGGGAUGUCUCAGUGGAGCAGGAAGUCUGCAAAUCUGGCUGCUCUUAAAGAAUCGCCAGGUUAAAUGCCACCAGUACUGGCCAGAGCCAUCAGGAAGCUCAUCCUAUGGGAAUUUCCAGAUUACCUGCCAUUCAGAAGAAGGAAAUCCUGCUUAUGUCUUUCGAGAAAUGACAUUGACUAAUCUGGAGAAAGAGGAAAGCCGACAACUAACUCAAAUCCAGUACAUAGCAUGGCCUGAUCAUGGGGUUCCUGAUGAUUCCAGCGAUUUCCUAGACUUCGUGUGUCUUGUGCGAAAGAAGAGGGCUGGCAGAGAAGAACCUGUUGUUGUUCACUGCAGUGCUGGGAUUGGACGGACAGGAGUUCUUAUCACUAUGGAGACGGCGAUGUGUCUCAUUGAGUGCAAUCAGCCUGUUUAUCCAUUAGAUAUUGUAAGAACCAUGAGAGAUCAAAGAGCCAUGAUGAUCCAAACACCUAGUCAAUACAGAUUUGUAUGUGAAGCUAUUUUGAAGGUGUAUGAAGAAGGAUUUAUUAAACCUUUACAACCGUCACUGCAUAAGUAAAGAGCUAAACCCCUAGGAUAUCAAUGGAGGAACCCUGUCCUCUCUCACGAACUGGCAGCAUUCUUUGUGCCAUAAUACUGCUUGCAGGAAACAAUAGUGAAGUACAGCAAAGAAUUGACAAAGGACUUUGAAAACUUCAGCACUGUUGCACUUUACGUUGAAACAAAAUCAGUCUCUGAAACUCUUCUAACUUUCAUCUGUUUGAAGACUUUAUUUUCGUGCUUUGCUCCGAACAAACCAUAAACUGAAAGAACUAAUUGUGUUCAGGGUAAUCUACGAUAUUUCAUUGUAGUGCCAUAUUCUGCGCUUCUGGUUGAAUUGCUACAAACAAGGCUUGGAAUUAUUUCACUCUGUUUUACACCCAUGUCUCUUAAAACGAAAAACAAAUGAAAAAAACACACUAAGCCAUGGUCUUUUUCCAGUGCUAGGUUUAUUUACUAUGUACAGACUCUCUCACUGUUUUGUUUUUUACAACAUUAGCAAUAUUGCCGAUACUAGAUAGAGACACACUGCCUACUGAUGCAGCACACUUUGUCCUACACCCUUUCUAGAGACCAGCUGGUGGUUAGAGGAAAGCUGGCGUCUGUGUUAACCCAGCGGUAGCUGCAUAACGCCCACUUACCAGCAUCUUGUACAAAAUAAUAACAAUAACAAUAAUAAAAAAAAAAAUUAAAAAAAAAAAAGAGUAAAAUAAAUAAACAGCGUUUCUUUGACACAGCUUGUGUGUCAUACACUGGUGUAUUCUGAUUCGUGUGACUUAAAGAUUACAUGAUGGGAACUAGUGCAUGCAUUCUGUCUUAACCCCUUAAGUGCCUUGAGACUUACAGCGUACAUCCAGUGAAAGGCACUCAUGAUCCUGUGGGGGUGGUAUUGUCCUGUCAUAUUUAUCUCAAUGGGUUCAGAUGUUUAAAAACGGCCCUUGGUGCUUGGAAUGUGUUACCGCAAGGGGUCAUGGAGAUACCGUUCCCUCGUUUCCUCACACAAGUACCUGAGUGCUGUUCUCGGUAGCAAAAGCACCUCUGCCAACUUAAUGAAUGAGCAUUGUAUGCUGCUGUAUUGUAAUUAUGUGAAAAAUCUGACACAUUCCUUCAUUCCUUCCAACUAGUAACUUACUAGCAGCUUACUAUGAAAUGCUGGUAGGUCAUUAGAAGCUGAUACUUCGUUUUAUCCUUUUACUGAGAAUAGCUGUCUUACUCGAUUAGGACAUAACUCUUUAAUAGCACUGAUAAUUAAGUUGAACUUACAAUCAGAUGUGAUUUAAUUCCAUUAUCUGCUAACCAAUUACUUCUUAAGUCCUCAUAGUUGAUUUCAAGCCAUGUUCGUACAGGUCUGCCUUCUAUUACUUUUUUUUUUUUAAUUGUUUGUGGGGGGAGGGAGGAGAACACUAUGAAGUUGUCCCAGAACUUUAUUUUAGUUCCAUAAUGACCCCAGUCACCUUCUGUUAUGCUUGUGCAAAAUUGUUCCAGUUGGUAUGGGUUGCUUCUUAUUUUAGUAGGUAGAAGAUUUGUAAGAAAUGUCUGUUUGAUACAGUAUCUGAGCUCAUUCUAAAGAUAUGUAAAUGUCCCAGUUUUUAAAUAUUUUUCCAGUAUAGGAGAAACCAAGUCAGAAGCAAGGUGUCCAGUGUAAUAUACUGUAAGAAAAAAAUCAGUCACUUCUUUGACUGCCCUGUGACAACGCAACUUUGUGCCCUCUAUUUAAAAGUUUUAAUUUAUUGUAUUGGUUUCCUGAAAAUGUUUAUCCAGAAAAUUUUGUUGUAAGCUAUAUAGAGCAUAGAAUUAAAAUGAAAAGUUCUACGCUAAAUAAUUUUUAACUAUUGAAGAAUUAUAUUAUAUAAUAUACUGUGUUCUGUGGACAUUUGAAAGAGAUCAGCUAUGAACUAUUAAGUGAAAAGGGAUUCAGGCAAAGUGAAAUCCUGGUUUAGGACUUAGUAAUAAACGUGAACCACAAUGCCAAAUGGAAGAUAGAGUUUUAAAUAUUUUUAGAAAACAAAAUAGUAUUAGGUGGCCUGUGGCCCAGUUACUUAUAUUUCUAGAUUUGAUGCUUAAAUCAAUGUUAUCCCUCAGUGAAAAAUGAAUCUCUCAAGAAUCUCUGGAUCUGAUAAACUGAAAAAAAGAGUAAUAAGGUAGCUUUAAUCUCAGAUUUAUUUUAAGCCAUUUGCAACAAAGAAAAUUCUUCUUUAGGAAAGUAUAAGCUUUAACUUUGACAUGAUGAGAUUAUUAGCUGAGAUGCUGGCUAGUUGGAAAGUUAUUUUAAACUCAGCACUUACUGUCUAAAAAUUAAAAUAAUUUAUCCAUUAUGUUGAAAUAAAUUUUCUUCAUAGUCAAAUUGUAAAUGAAAAUAGUAUUUGCCCCUUUUUUUUUCUGAGGGAAAUCAGAAACGGAGUUUAUAGCAACUUAUAGUGCUGGUAUGUCACAUAUUUAACUAUUCUAAUGUAAAGUUGCCAAAGCAGUUUGAGUUCAAAAGACCCAUUUAUACCACAAUUAAGUGUGGGAUAUUUAUUGGUUGUCUGUCGUUAACUGUUUUGAUUACAAACGCAGGCAAGAAUAAUAGGUCUCUUCAGAAUCUUCCUCUGCACUGACUUAAGCUGAUUUGUAGUGUAUUAACUGGUUGCACUGGGAAAAAAAAACUGGAACAAAGUACCUAUUCUUAGAUAAUUGGCCAUCAGCAACUCAGUGGCUUUUUGGCUUCUCCAAAGCCAGGAUAGUGGUAACCAAAAACUGAUUGGGAGAGAGAACAGCAUUGAAGCCUUUCUGCACCAUAAAUCAUUCCUUAAAGUGUUUCUACCUGUUGUGGUAUAAAUGGCCUUUAAAAUAUUUUUAUACGGCCAAAAAAAAAAAAAAAGCGAAACUGCUAAAUAUUUUACUUUGGGUUAUGAAGAUCUGUAUCAUCCUUAAGAGUUUUUUAAAGAAGUUUUUGUAUGUUUCAUGCUGUACAAAACAUGAAUGUAUCUUUCAGACAUAAUGACCUAUAGACCUAUAUGUGAUUGGUGUUACGACUGUUGGAUUUUAUGAAUAAUUAUUUUCAUACCAUUUGAUUAGGAAAAAAAUGUUGGCUGGGUGUGAGAAAGAGUAUGUUUGUAACACUUCCAUGAUACAAAUCCAGUUUUAAAAGAAAAAAAAAAAAGUUUUCAUUGUAAAUAAGAGCAAUAUUAUGAGAAUUUUGUGCCAAUGUAUAAUGUUAAGACUUUGGUUUUCCUUUUAGGUUCGGAUUGAAAACUACCACUACCAUCUCUUCUUUAAAGUGGAUUUGAAGGUUGUUUUAUAUUUUGUUUUAAGUAGAAAGACAUGGGGCUCUGGUGGAGGCUUUGAGUGUUUUGGGGCCUUUUUUUUUUUUUCUUUUUGCUAAAUAUGAAAUAAGAUGCAGGUAUUGUUUAAUAAACCACCUACAGAUUGUCAGCCAAUCCACUUUGAGAAAUACUGCUUUAGAUAUAUCAGAUAAUUGAGAGAUGAAGAAUUCAUUUAUUCUGAAUUUGGAAGCAGUUAGUAUUUUAAAUAACUUGCAAGUCUUAAGCAGCAAAAUACUGUUUUUAUGCAUUUUAUUUUUAUAUAUUCUCUCCCAGUGAUGAAAAAGAGAAAGCUUGAUAUUUUUCCUUCUCUCUACGUUUACUGCUAGCUGACGUUUCUUCCACAUUUCUCUGUUAAAUCUUGAAAGCUCACGUCCCAUAUAGGUAAAGUGGUAACACCUCCAGAAUAUCUCGUUACAGUCUGGCACCCCAUCUAUUAGAGAAAGGGUGAGAAAGCAGUUGGGAGAUUGAGGAACACGAGGAGUUUGUUAUGGAACCCGUGUAGCCGGCAGCUUUCCCUGGAGACCUUCCAAAAAGCGUCGUGGUACCCGUGGAAGGGCGAAAAACGCAGCGGCCCCGCUGAGGCUGCGCUGCCCAGGGAGAUGGGGAAGGAGGGAAGGUCUGGGAUGGAGAUGCUGGAGCUCCAGGUAUGCUGUGGAGCUGGAUUACGUGAUAUUUUUAUGCUUCUGCAGUGUGUGUGCAGGUGUGUGGGCGAUGUCUGAUGGCUCAGGGAGUUAGCAUGCGCCUGAAAAACUCUACAGAUCCACCCAUUUGCAAGCGAAAGCAGGUUUUCCGGUCCGUACGCUGUAGUUUUGACUGUAGAGCCGCUCUGCUGGCAAUAUUUGAGACCCUCAGCCCUGAGGAUAAAGGGAGGGAUUGGGUUAUGGUUCAAAUUCAAAUUUUGUGUUAUUUGAUCUUCCACAAAGUACAGAAAUAGGGCCCUUAAAAGUCAUUUGUAGUCUUUUUGUAGCUCACAUCUCAGGUCUCCGGUUGACUGGGUGUAUUUGCUAAUUUAAGUGCCCACCUUCUGUCUUGAGACUCAGAAGUCUCUUUUCCGUUGCUACUUUUAGUGCGAGGAUCCAGUAUCAAAAUCUGGUGAAAACAUAUUCAUUGAUUAGACGUGGAUCUUGCGUGGAAUUGCAGGGAUUAUAAUUAGUGGUGAUUGGGAAGCUGUUGCAAGGGGAAAAAUGGUUCGUUUGUUCCAGUGUAACUGUUCUGUCCAGUCUCUGGUGUCCCACUGCAGUUAUAAACUGAAACUGCUGUUAUUUUAUUUUUUUUAAUUGGUUUAGCAGUCUAGCAAAGGAGGCCGGGUUGUUACCACGGGAUUUUAUCUCUGUGCUGGUUGCUGCCACAAGUGUGCAUCUUCCCAGUUCAUAGGGCUUCUCCAGCUACACGUUUUCAACUGGUGCAUAAGCUGUAAGCUCUGGCUGUUGGCUUGGGCAUGUUUUGUUCAUUGGGAGCUCAAUGGUAAAAAUUUGAGACAAGUCACUUUUUAAAAAAAAUGCUGACAUUUUAAUUUUAAAAAUAUGGAAUUUUUUAUUUCUUUGAACCAGUAGCCUCUUUUUUUUUUCUUUUUAAAAAAAGCCACCAAAAUAUCUUUCGUUCUAGCCUGCUGCACCAUGAGUUUCACAGACUGGCUGACAAUUUGUGGGUUGUGUUUAUUUCGUAUUUAGCAAGCUUACACAUUUUAAAGGGUGAUUUUAUUUUUUUUUUUUCAAAAUGUUUUGAUGUUUAAAUAGUAGCACUUUAUCUCAUGCUUACUACUGACUGAACUAUUGGACACAAUAAAUUGGGUUUGGAGAGAGAUGCUCAAUGGGUUUCUGUACAGAGAUGAUUAGGAUUACACCCUGGUACGAAUGCUUUCUAUUGUUCCAACCAUUUCUGGUUUAUUGUGCAUGUGUUUCUGAUGGACUUUCAGAAAAUAGCUAUUCUGAAGAUAUUAAUAAUGCUAUCAUCUUAAUUUUUCUGUCUUAAAAAGAAUAUAAAGCUUGCAUUAAAAAAAAGGUGCAAAUAGAAACUACAGGGUACUCAAAUUUCUCUCUGUGAUCUCUCUCAGCUAGCUGCAAAUUAGCUAUGUUUACUGUAAAUCUUUCUGCUAAGCAUUAUUUUUAACAUUAGAUCAAUUACCUGGAAAUCAGUAUAUUUUUUUUUUACUUAACUUAUUUGAAUUUUGAUAACUAAAGAUAAUGCACAACGAAGUUUAAAGAAGUUGUCACCCUUUUACUCCCAGGCCAGGGGCCUGAGAUGCGAGUGAAAGGGUUAAACAGUUUACAUUAAGCUGUUUUCUUUAACUAGAAUAUAUCCACAAAGACUAGACUAUAAACGAUCCAGUGCAAUUAUCUCAGUACGUUGGGGCACCACAGUAACAACCCUUAAUAAUUUUUACAGGAAAAUUAAGGUAAGAAAACAAAGGUUUUAUUUUAUCCGGAUUUGUUUUCCAUUUGGUUUGAUUUGUUUACCAGCAAUCCCAUUUUAACCAGUCAAUUUGGCGGGGCUGUUUGUGUAAGGUUUGGGGUUUUUCUGUAACAGGUGCUAUACUAUGUGUAAAUACAAAGGGAAAGAUAUUAUUUAGAUCAUUAUUAACAAUCAGAUGGUGGCAAUAUUUUUUUGCUAGUUACUUCUGGUAAUUAAUUUGCAUUUCCAGCUGUGGCUUUCAGUUGUCAAAUUUCAUCUCAGUUUCAUACUGCUGAAUGAUGGACUGCAAGUGUGAAGUAAAUCAUCUCGGAGUUGAAUAGCUCUUUUGUUGUUUAGACUAACUCUUGUGUAUCUUUAUUAUUGUUGGAGGGAUGGGAAGGUUCUUCCCAUAAGUAGACUUUUGCCUAUAAAUUUGUUUAAAAGCACAUGAAGGGGAGAAAAAAAAAAUAAAAACAAAACAACAAACAAAACAACAGAAAACCUAAAUGCAACGUCUUGGCUCAACAGCCGGGGGGUGGUUGAUUGAAAAUGAUGGAAACUUGAAAUUGGUCAACACUGGACAAUGUGAAAAUAACUUCAGCUUUUGUCACUGCAGCUACUGUAUGCUUUAAAGGGCCUUAUGUAUUUGUCCUCAUUUUGAUAAAAUGAAAUUUCUUGCCAUUAAAAUGAUACACUAACUUCUACCGAAAACCAGCAGUUCCCAGGAUAAAUAUGCUAAUUAACAUUUAACAAGUCUUGUUUUAGUCUUAAGUAAAAUUUCAUUCUAUUAUGUGAAAAAAUGCUGUUAUGCAUAUUUUGUGGAUAUAUUUAAUUUCAGUUGACAAAUAGUUGUCUAGGUACAGACUUGAAAAUAUAUAUAUAGUUUACUUGUGGAUCUUAAUUGUUUAAUUGCAAAAUAAAGAUGUGCUUUAGUAAUUUAAA